GGGAGGCCGGGGGUGCCCAGCCCGCGCCCCGGCCGAGCGCGCACCCGCCCCGCGCGCACCCGCCGCUCCCGGCCGUCGCCCUUCCGCGAGCCGCGCCGCCCUCCAGCAGGGCCAGCCCCCACUGGCAGCAGACAAAAGGCCAUUUCUGAGUUACACAGAAAAUGUGUUACUUUGCCAGAGGGCCGGGUAGAGGCCGCCGGGCCCGAUCGUGGGCCGCGCGGAGCGUCGGCAGAGGGGGGCUGUCAGUCACCGCGCACCCUCCGUGAAAGGGGCCCCUUGUCAACUUCCCCUGCCUUUGAAGUGACUGGGAUGGAGGUGCUCAAUUAAAAGCCCAUCAGUCUGGUCAGGGCACCGUAAAUCCUGUACUGGAUUGCAGCCACCUGGAUCGGGAUGAAAGCGCUGGCGCGCCGGCUGGGCGCACCCAGGCCUUUCCACCGUGGCCCCCGGAGCGCGGACGGGGCGGCGCCGCGGGACCCGCGCCCGACGGACGCACAAAGACCUAGACGCAGACAGCAGCCCAAGGAGACAGAGUGCGCAGAGGUGGGGAGACAGAGCCUGAGAAAAUAGGCCGAGAUGGAGAUCACUGGAAGAAGAGGCCCAAAGUGGUGGAGACAGGUGCCAUGAAAACUCACCCAGAGUGUUAAGAACGGAUAGAUGCUUCUAGAAGACAAGGAGGUGUCUGGAUGAUAUUUCUCAGACGCUGGGAUUUGAGUCUCAGAGUCAGAGAGCGAGGGCGGUUUAGGCUGCAGUCUCCGCAGCUCCCCGCCUGUUCCCACUGUCUGCCCCCAAAUGUCACUUAGCCAAGGGAAUGGUGUGGGGAGGACACAGAAGCUCGGGGCUUUGCUGAGCCAGCCUUGUGUGGGACAUCAAAAUAGGUGAUGUCCAGAACUCGGUCUUCUGCAAUAAAAGGAUAUGAAUAGACAAGCUGGACCAGAGUAUCAGGUUCUGAUAGUUCUGCUGAGCAAAUCCCUAAGCAACACUUGGUCCCGGCGCCUUUCUCCUAGAUUCUGGGGGUGGUUUUGUGGAUUCUUCCUGCUCCUGAGAGCAAGCUCUGGCUUUACCCCCACUGCAGACCAGAAAGAAAGGCGGGGUAGGGAGCAGAGGAGACAAGACAGCUGUAUUUUGGGCUGGAAGGAGGAGCUGAGUGGGGAACGAGGUCCAGCUAACAGCUGGAAGAGAAGAACAAGGCCUGCUUUUCAAGGGAGGAAAGAACAGUCUUUCCUCAAAUGGCUGUUCAGAGCUGCCCCAAGGCAUAGCUUCCCCUGACUUGUGAGGUUGCAUAUGUAAAAAGGGCCCUCACAUGCUUUCCCCAGCGAUAGAAUAAUACACCAAAGGAAUCAAGAGAUAGCAGGAGAGAUGGCAGAGGGAACUUCUUCCCAGACCCUACGGUGGAGCUUGAUGCCCAGGCUCCCGGGCUUCUUAACUAGACAAAGAAAGAAAAUUCUAAAGAAUGAAGCUGGACCUCUAUCUUACACCAUACACAAAGGUCCACUCAAAAUGGAUUAAAGACCUAAAUGUAAGACCUGAAACCUUAAAACUCCUUAAGAAAACAUAGGGAGUAUGCUCCAUGACUCUGGUCUCGGCGAUGAUUUUUUGGAUUUGACACCGAAAGCAAAGGGAAUAAAAGCUAAAAUAAGCAAGUGGGACUCCAUCAAACUAAAAAACUUCUGCACAGUAAAGGGAACCGCCAGUGAAAUGAAAGGGCAACCUGUGGAAUGGGAGAAGAUAUUUGCAAAUCAUAUAAGGGGUUAGUAUUCAAGAUAUAUAAAGAACUCAUACAACUCAAUCACAGAACCUCCCCCCUCCCCGCAACAAGCAGAACAAAACCACCACCACCAAUAAAAACCUCUAAACAAUCCAAUUAAAAAAUUGGCAGAGGAACCGAAUGGAUAUUUUUUACAAAGACAAACAAAUGACCAACAGGUACAUGAAAAGAUGUUCAACAUCACUGAUCAUUAGGGAAAUGCAAACCAAAACCACAAUGAAGAGAUACUACCUCAUGCUUAUUAGAAUGGCUGGCACCAACAAGACAAGAGAUAACGUGUUAGGAAGGGUGUGGGGACAAAGGAAGCCUUGUGCACUGUUGGGAGGGUAUCAAUUUGUGCAGCCACUAUGGGAAACACUGUGGAGGUUCCUCAAAAAGUAAAAAUUGAGCUACCAGAUGAUCCAGCAAUUCCACUUCUGGGUACGGAUGCAAAAGAAAAACAACAACAACAGGAUCUCCAAAAAACCCAAAAAAUCUGCAUUCUCAUAUUCAUUGCGGCCUUAUUCACAGUAGCCAAGAUGUGGAAACCAGUGACCGUCAAUGGAUGAAUGGAUAAAGAAGAUGUGGUGUAUAUAUGUACAAUGGAAUAUGAUUGAGCCACAAGAAAGCAGGAGGUCCUGCCGUUUGGGACAGCAUGGAUAGACCUUGAGGGCAUUAUACUAAAUGAAAUAAAUCAGAGAAGACAAAUAAUGUUUCAUAACCAUGUAUAGGUGGAAUCUGAAAAAGGUUGAGUUCCUAAAAACAGAAUGGUGGUAACCAGGUGCUGGGGAGCUGGGGGAAUUAGGGAGACGUUGGUCAAAGAGUAUAAACUUCAGGUUAUAAGAUGGACACGUUUCAAGGAUCAAAUUUAUAGCACAUUAAAAUGCCGUUAGUUAACUGUUGUUAAUACAGUUAAUUAAAAUGUUGUAUCGUAUAUUUGAA